rfam:Aedes aegypti strain Liverpool supercont1.354 genomic scaffold, whole genome shotgun sequence.
GAAAUGGUCCUUUUCAGGACCACCAAAAUGAGUCGAUAUUGUUCAU